rnacentral:rRNA from 1 species
AAAUUGAAGAGUUUGAUCAUGGCUCAGAUUGAACGCUGGCGGCAGGCCUAACACAUGCAAGUCGAACGGUAACAGGAAGCAGCUUGCUGCUUCGCUGACGAGUGGCGGACGGGUGAGUAAUGUCUGGGAACUGCCUGAGU